UAGGGAAUCUUCGGCAAUGGGGGCAACCCUGACCGAGCAACGCCGCGUGAGUGAAGAAGGUUUUCGGAUCGUAAAGCUCUGUUGUAAGAGAAGAACGAGUGUGAGAGUGGAAAGUUCACACUGUGACGGUAACUUACCAGAAAGGGACGGCUAACUACGUGCCAGCAGCCGCGGUAAUACGUAGGUCCCGAGCGUUAUCCGGAUUUAUUGGGCGUAAAGCGAGCGCAGGCGGUUAGAUAAGUCUGAAGUUAAAGGCUGUGGCUUAACCAUAGUACGCUUUGGAAACUGUUUAACUUGAGUGCAGAAGGGGAGAGUGGAAUUCCAUGUGUAGCGGUGAAAUGCGUAGAUAUAUGGAGGAACACCGGUGGCGAAAGCGGCUCUCUGGCUUGUAACUGACGCUGAGGCUCGAAAGCGUGGGGAGCAAACAGGAUUAGAUACCCUGGUAGUCCACGCCGUAAACGAUGAGUGCUAGGUGUUAGACCCUUUCCGGGGUUUAGUGCCGCAGCUAACGCAUUAAGCACUCCGCCUGGGGAGUACGACCGCAAGGUUG
rnacentral:rRNA from 1 species